UGCGCAGAACUCCUAUCUAUGCAGAUAUUAUCAGCCCUGGGCCAUAACUGCUGACCCCAGCCUGCCUAAAGAAUCCUGCCAGGCUCAGCAGCAUGUCUGCCAGGACCUUCACCACUCUUUCCAGGAUCUACCUCCUGGGGCUGCUCUUCUCUAUUCUCCCAGGGUCCUGGACCCAGGUGCAGCUAGUGGAGACAGGAGGCAAGGUGACAUAUGAAGGCCAGUCUGUUACUCUGAACUGCAGGGCCUCUGGCUUUAACUUCAAGGAAUACGCCAUGUCUUGGCACUGGAGCUCAACUGAGAACCACAGGGAGUUCGUGGCCAGCAUCAGCCCCAAAACUGGCAGUAACAGAGAGUACAGCCCUAGAGUCCAGGGCAGGGCUUUUAUCACCAGGAACAACGAGGCCAAAACUGUCUCCCUGACCUUGCGCCAGCUGCGAAAGGAAGACUCAGGCCAAUACUACUGUGCCAAACACACUCUGCUGGGUCCCAGGCAGAGGCCUUGAUACAAAUCUGGGAUUAGAGCCCCAGAUGCUGCUACUGCGCUAUAACU